GACGAACGCUGGCGGCGUGCUUAACACAUGCAAGUCGAACGGAAAGGCCCUGCUUUUGUGGGGUGCUCGAGUGGCGAACGGGUGAGUAACACGUGAGUAACCUGCCCUUGACUUUGGGAUAACUUCAGGAAACUGGGGCUAAUACCGGAUAGGAGCUCCUGCUGCAUGGUGGGGGUUGGAAAGUUUCGGCGGUUGGGGAUGGACUCGCGGCUUAUCAGCUUGUUGGUGGGGUAGUGGCUUACCAAGGCUUUGACGGGUAGCCGGCCUGAGAGGGUGACCGGCCACAUGGGGACUGAGAUACGGCCCAGACUCCUACGGGAGGCAGCAGGGGGGAAUAUGGCACAAUGGGCGGAAGCCUGAUGCAGCAACGCCGCGUGCGGGAUGACGGCCUUCGGGGUGUAAACCGCUUUCGCCUGUGACGAAGCGUGAGUGACGGUAAUGGGUAAAGAAGCACCGGCUAACUACGUG
rnacentral:rRNA from 1 species